ACAAGCUUCUACCUGUAAUCUCCUGCCUGUUUCCUCCAAAACUGGGCCCCAGGCUUGGGCAAGGGUGAUUCACCCACUUCUGUAGGAGGAAAGAGGACGUCGUAUGGCAGCUACCAGCCCUGACCUAAGGAAUCAGAAUCUUUGGGGUAGGGUUCUGGCAGCUACAUUUUUUUAUCCCCUCCCUCGCACACCCAGGUAGCUCUGUGCCCACAUGGCUUUGCUAACUGCUCUCCUCUCCGUUAUUGAACCCCCUGAAACUUGGCUUUACUAGUAGAAGGACAGUUUCCUAAUGGGGCUUUUGUUCUGAUGACCCACGAAGUAUCACCUGUGAACUUGUGGUAGGCAUGACACGGAUCCCCACCAAAACGCCCGUGUUCUAGUUCCUGGAAUCUGUGCAUGUGUUAUCUUCCCUGGCAGAAGGACUUUUGCAGGUAAGUGCUUACCCUGAAUAUCCAGGUGGGCCUAAUCUAAUCAUGGGAGCCCUUAAAAGAGAACUUUCAGAGGGAGAGGUGACUGCAGAAGAAUGGCCAAAGGGAUACAAUGUGGCUUUGAAGGUGGACGAGGGGGCCAUGGCCAAAGAACGUGAGCAGCCUCUAGGAGAUGAAAAAGACCAAGAAACUGAUUCUCCCCGAGAACUUCUGGAAAGGAACACAGCCCAGCCGACACCUUAAUUUUAGCCAGUGAGACCUGAGUAGGACUUCUAACCUCCAGAACUGCAAGGAAAGUCUUCUCUAUAUUGGAAAAGUUCUCCUUUACUUAUCUAGAACCAAAUCUGGCUGCCAAGGAUCACAGAAUCACACCACAGGCCAGAGGGAAGACCCCUGGAUAUGACAAAGAAAACAAUUUUAAAAUAACAUUGUAUCCUUAAAGCAACUCUAAUGAAUGACUUUCACUAGCAGAUUUUUAAGUAAGCGACAUGCAAAAGAAUGAACCUGGACCACUGUCUUACACCAUACACAAAAAUAAACUCAAAAUGGAUGAAAGACCUCAAUGUAAGACAGGAAGCCAUCAAAAUCCUUGAGGAGAAAGCAGGCAAAAACCUCUUUGAUCCUGGCCGCAGCAACUUCUUACUCAACACGUCUCCGGAGACAGGGGAAACAAAAGCAAAAAUGAGCUACUGGGACCUCAUCAAAAUAAAAAGCUUCUGCACAGUGAAGGAAACAAUCAACAAAACUAAAAGGCAACUGACAGAAUGGGAGAAGAUAUUUACAACAUAUAUUUGCACAUAUAUGUUGCAACGACAUAUCAGAUAAAGGGUUAGUAUCCAAAAUCUAUAAAGAACUCAACACCCAAAAAACAAAUAAUCCAGUGAAGAAAUGGGAAAAAGACAUGAAUAGACACUUUUCCAAAGGAGACAUCCAGAUGGGCAACUGACACAUGAAAAAAUGCUCAACACCGCUCAUCAUCAGGGAUAUACAAAUCAAAACCACAAUGAGAUACCACCUUACACCUGUCAGAAUGGCUAACAUUAACAACUCUGGCAAAAAGAGAUGUUGGCGAGGAUGCGGAGAAAGAGGAUCUCUUUUGCAUUGUUGGUGGGAAUGCAAGCUGGUGCAGCCACUCUGGAAAACAGUAUGGAGUUUCCUCAAAAAACUAAAAAUAGAACUACCCUACGACCCAGCAAUUGCACUACUAGGCAUUUAUCCAAGGGAUACAGGUGUGUGUUUUGAAGGGACACAUACACUCCAAUGUUUAUAGUAGUGCUAUCAACAAUAGCCAAAGUAUGGAAAGUGCCCAAAUAUCCAUCGAUGGAUGAAUGGAUAAAGAAGAUGUGGUAUAUAUAUACAAUGGAGUAUUACUCGGUAAUCAAAAAGAAUGAAAUCUUGCCAUUUGCAACUACGUGGAUGGAACUGGAGGGUAUUAUGCUAAGCGAAAUCAGUCAGAGAAAGACAAAUAUCAGAUGACUUCACUCAUAUGAGGACUUUAAGAGACAAAACAGAUGAACAUAAGGGAAGGGAAACAAAAAUAAUAUAAAAACAAGGAGGGAGACAAAACAGAAGAGACUCAUAAAUAUGGAGA